UAAUGUUAGGCACUCUGUUUCUCAAUGUUGUUUCAGUGAAUGAUCCUGUAUUUUGAAAUGCUUUCACUACAUAGUGAGCAGAACCUAUCACUCCAUAAUUGUCCCUUAUCUUUGAAAUCUGAUGCAUUUGCACUAUCCAAGUGUGAUCAUUGAAAGGUGUGUGAGAAUGCUCAGCACAGCUGAACUCCUGGAAAAGCAAGGAUUUGUCAAAGCUGUUGUAAGGAGAGAAAAAGAGAUGAUCCAAACUGAUCAGAGCACCAGUUGGAUUAAGAUGUGACGAGGCUGGCGGGAUGCUGGUUGCCAGAAGAAAAGAGAUGCCAAAAUGGAAACAAUGUCCAUGAGGAGGGAAGAGGGAGCUUGCAUCUCGCUGCAGCAGUUUCAGACAAAUAUCAAGGAGAUCAUCAUUAACCUCUUUGAACAUGUAACAAGUAAAGCCACUAAAGCCCUCACUGGAAGCAGAAAUAAUUAUUUGAUAAAUUUGCAGGAGAAAUAUGAAGCCAACCUCCUAAAUUAAGGCAGAAGCGGAAUAAUUUGUAUUGGGCUAUUAAUACCAUUAAAAUUGAUUGCCUUAA